CCUACGGGAGGCAGCAGUGGGGGAUAUUGCACAAUGGGGGAAACCCUGAUGCAGCGACGCCGCGUGGGUGAAGAAGCGCCUCGGCGCGUAAAGCCCUGUCAGCAGGGAAGAAAAUGACGGUACCUGAAGCAGAAGCCCCGGCCAACUACGUACCAGCAGCCGCGGUAACACGUAGGGGGCACGCGGUAUCCGGAUUUACUGGGUGUAAAGGGGGCGCAGGCGGGGAUGCAAGCCAGGGGUGAAAGCCCGGGGCCCAACCCCGGUACUGCUCUUGGAACUGGGUGGCUGGAGUGUAUGCGGGGCAGGCGGAAUUCGUGGUGUAGCGGUGAAAUGCGUAGAUAUCAGGCGGAACACCGGUGGCGAAGGCGGCCUGCUGGACUGCAACUGACGUUGAGGCCCGAAAGCGUGGGGAGCAAACAGGAUUAGAUACCCCUGUAGUC
rnacentral:rRNA from 1 species